ACGCUCGACACCUACGGGAGGCAGCAGUUGGGAAUAUUGGACAAUGGAGGAAACUCUGAUCCAGUGACGCCGCGUGAAGGAAGAAGGUCUUCGGAUUGUAAACUUAUUUUGUCAGGGAAGAAAAAUGACUGUACCUGAAGAAAAAGCACCGGCUAACUACGUGACAGCAGCCGCGGUAAUCUGAGCGGGCUGGCAAGGC
rnacentral:rRNA from 1 species